UACGAAGGGGGCUAGCGUUGCUCGGAAUCACUGGGCGUAAAGCGCACGCAGGCGGCUCUUUAAGUCAGGGGUGAAAUCCUGGAGCUCAACUCCAGAACUGCCUUUGAUACUGAGGGGCUUGAGUCCGGGAGAGGUGAGUGGAACUGCGAGUGUAGAGGUGAAAUUCGUAGAUAUUCGCAAGAACACCAGUGGCGAAGGCGGCUCACUGGCCCGGUACUGACGCUGAGGUGCGAAAGCGUGGGGAG
rnacentral:rRNA from 1 species